CUAGCUGUACAUUCACGCCACGCGCCUUAAAUAGCUUGGCCUCCUCGCCCAAGCACUGCUGAAAUCCACGCAUUGAGAAAAUGACUCAACCGUACACAAAUUAGAGACGCUGAUCUUUGACAUCACAUCUGGAAGUUACAGAAAUGGCAGCAUGUUGGAUGAAUGGUUAGAAGCUUGAGGUUCAGGGUUUGAAUCUCCAUUUUGCGUGAUUGAAUCGGUUUUCUCUUGCCACCCGAAAGUGUGACGGUUUUAGAAUCCUUUAAAGAGCAAGUCAAGUUACAAAUUUUAACUGGUGUUAACAUUCUGAUAAAUAACUGGGUUUUUGUAAUAUUAAGUGGAAAAUUCCAUUUGUUUUUAUACAUUUCAGUGGGCGGCCAUUUUGACUUCUACUGCCACUUCCUGUUGACUGAAAAUGACAAGCGCCUACUGGCUCAUCUUGUGGACGGCACGUGAACAAAACCCAGAAAACAGCGGUUGACCACUUUGAGGAGCCCGUCUGUUUGACACGGAAGACCACAGAGUAGAAGACCACUGGAUCGCUACCAGACGCUUGUCACGUGAUCAAAAGGUCCCAACACAAAAGCCACCACAGCCUCUACUUUUGUCCGAGGACUCGCCAUCAAUGAAGAGCUCUUGAGCUAAAUACAUCUUUAUUCGGCGAUUAACGACGCUCCUCCAUGAGAGGAGUCCGAUGCCCCUUCACUGAAGUCCGACGACUUAACAGCCACUCCGCCAUCAAUCAG